GGGAGCCGCAGCCCCGAGCCCGGUCGCCUCACUUGGCGGACGUGAGGCCUGUAGUAAAGAGUAAAGCCUGAGGUAGAUUACCCCUCCCAUCGAGCACGUUAGUUUCCUGCUUACCGCGUAAGCAACCCGCUCAACAAUAUAGUCUGCCUGGCAACUGAUGAUGUUAGCCAAUCAGCUUGCCUUGCUUACUUUAACAUGAUUGGACACUGUAUCCGUAUAUAUACUGGUGCCACCCCUGGGGGGGAAGAAGAAGCCCGGAAGUAGAAGCCCAGAAGGAGCCGCGGGGAGCGGACCAAAGGAGGCUUCGGCUGGGAGCGAUCCCAGGGCAGGCUGUACGGAGAAGGAAAAUAAAAGAAAAGGUUGUCCACUGCCAGGCUUUGUCGUGUGUCCUUCCUGCCGGCCGGGAGCGACAUCGACAUUUGGAGGCCCGCACGGGGACUGAUCACCCCCGAGACGUGACAGCGGACAACGCUCCAGUACAGAGCUGCGAGACAGGAAUCGGGACGAGAACCACUGUGGGUACCAGAGAGACUGACACGGGCGACAAAGCCCUCGACUGAAGAUCAGACCUGCCCUACCGGAGAUCCAUCACAGACCGACCAACAAGAUGAAUAGAAAUAGCGGUAGUCCGAAAUGGACAAGAAGAUCCUCAGGCAUAUGCAUGGCUCGCUCGCCUAGCCUACGACCGAGUCUAGGGACGGUGAGCUUCCCACACUCCUCCUCUAAAAAAUUAUGACAUAGCUGGGUAGGAGAGUCAAUGACGGGUAAGAGCGUACUUCCCCGGUGCGACUCAACCUAAGCCAGGCCCUACCCCAUCCUGCACGUAAGCCGCUGGACUGUUAGAUGCUGCCCAGGUCUAAAUUUCUCUCCGAGGGGAUUUCUUUACGGAGAGGAAAUGAGUGCAAGCUUGUGUGCAUCCAGGUUCCGUCCAGUUUGUGCCUGGCCCUUGAAAAAGGACGAGGGCCUCAGGGCCUUGGCAGACCAUAGGACGGCCGACCAGGGUCUAAGCCAAGGACCUACGGUGGGCCUACGCAUAGGGCAUAAGCCUCUGCACCCAGUCCAGAAAGGGCUACGAUGCGCACAUUCAUAAAAAAUAAAAAAGGGGGAGAUGUUGGGAGCCGCAGCCCCGAGCCCGGUCGCCUCACUUGGCGGACGUGAGGCCUGUAGUAAAGAGUAAAGCCUGAGGUAGAUUACCCCUCCCAUCGAGCACGUUAGUUUCCUGCUUAUCGCGUAAGCAACCCGCUCAACAAUAUAGUCUGCCUGGCAACUGAUGAUGUUAGCCAAUCAGCUUGCCUUGCUUACUUUAACAUGAUUGGACACUGUAUCCGUAUAUAUACUGGUGCCACCCCUGGGGGGGAAGAAGAAGCCCGGAAGUAGAAGCCCAGAAGGAGCCGCGGGGAGCGGACCAAAGGAGGCUUCGGCUGGGAGCGAUCCCAGGGCAGGCUGUACGGAGAAGGAAAAUAAAAGAAAAGGUUGUCCACUGCCA